AGCACUUACUGUGCUGGCUAUGGUAAGUCCGACGUGCUCCCACGCACUGCCCGCAAGGGCUUGGGAUUAC
ncrna:unclassified sequences S15-Methanomicrobia ribosomal protein leader